GUGGGGGAUAUUGCACAAUGGGGGAAACCCUGAUGCAGCGACGCCGCGUGAAGGAAGACGUACUUCGGUAUGUAAACUUCUAUCAGCAGGGAAGAAGAUGACGGUACCUGACUAAGAAGCCCCGGCUAACUACGUGCCAGCAGCCGCGGUAAUACGUAGGGGGCAAGCGUUAUCCGGAUUUACUGGGUGUACAGGGAGCGUAGACGGUGAAGCAAGUCUGAUGUGAAAACCCGGGGCUCAACUCCGGGAUUGCAUUGGAAACUGUUGUAGUUGAGUGCUGGAGGGGCAAGCGGAAUUCCUGGUGUAGCGGUGAAAUGCGUAGAUAUCAGGAAGAACACCGGUGGCGAAGGCGGCUUGCUGGACAGUAACUGACGUUGAGGCUCGAAAGCGUGGGGAGCAAACAGGAUUAGAAACCCCGGUAGUCC
rnacentral:rRNA from 1 species